GACGAACGCUGGCGGCGUGCUUAACACAUGCAAGUCGAACGGAAAGGCCCUGCUUUUGUGGGGUGCUCGAGUGGCGAACGGGUGAGUAACACGUGAGUAACCUGCCCUUGACUUUGGGAUAACUCCAGGAAACUGGGGCUAAUACCGGAUAGGAGCUCCUGCUGCGUGGUGGGGGUUGGAAAGUGUCGGCGGUUGGGGAUGGACUCGCGGCUUAUCAGCUUGUUGGUGGGGUAGUGGCUUACCAAGGCUUUGACGGGUAGCCGGCCUGAGAGGGUGACCGGCCACAUUGGGACUGAGAUACGGCCCAGACUCCUACGGGAGGCAGCAGUGGGGAAUAUUGCACAGUGGGCGGAAGCCUGAUGCAGCAACGCCGCGUGCGGGAUGACGGCCUUCGGGUUGUAAACCGCUUUCGCCUGUGACGAAGCGUGAGUGACGGUAAUGAGUAAAGAAGCACCGGCUAACUACGUG
rnacentral:rRNA from 1 species